rnacentral:lncRNA from 1 species
GGAUACGAUACUUGGUCUUACCAUUUUAUAUUACUUGUGUGACUCGGUAUACUUGCCGAUUCAACCCAACAAAUACAGACAGUUUGUGCGUCAUGACGCUCAGGUGGAUCGGCAUUGGCUUUCAACAGUUCGGCCAAAUCACGCUCAUCAUUCGACUCCAGAUUGGCCUCGAUGGUGGUUGUUUGCGUCUCUUCUUUGCCCAAUACGAACGGUUUCACCUCCC